CGUUAAAACACUGGUUCGCGUACGAUCGCUGAAGUAAAGCAACGUCAAGACUGGUCAUUACUAGGAUGGGUGACAGCUUAGGAAUACCAGGUGCUGUAAG